rnacentral:lncRNA from 1 species
GCAGUAACACGUAGGUAAAGAAUACGAAAAUAUCUCAGGCUAAGAAAGGUUUUCUGUAUUGCAUCUGGCGUCCCCAUUGCUGUUUGGUGUGAGAAUUGGCAUUACGAAUUGCUACUGUCUGUCCUGCUCAACAAAGACAUACGUUGCAAGCCUGCUCCACGCUGGAGGGCACAAGUUACCCACUGCACUUUCUUCAACAAAAAACCCCACUCUGCAGGAAACAAAAUGAGGCCGCGGUGCAGAGAUGAGAAGAAAGGCAGCCUGCAACAACGGACACAGCGCUCAGAGAGUUUUAUUUACUUUUCAGAUUUUUGCCUCGGCGAGACAUUCUGCAAACAUGCUAAGGCUACAAAAUGCCCAAGUUGACAAAGACAUGCAACGCUGACCAUUCAAUAAGUCACGGCUAUUAGAGGAGCGACCAUGCCCACCUGGGCCGCAGGUCCCAUAGGACAGGGAUGGCGUACAGCGAUCAUGGCAACGCACUACACAGGACCUAGUAACCUGAGGUAGGUCUCUUCACAGUAAGAAAACAACAUCCUACACCAGUGUUACAUCCUGAUCUGCAGGAACCCGUUUAAAGUUCCAGGAGACGUGGAGUGGGGGACUGUUUCCUUAACAAGUGUGCAAUAAAGAAACAGGAAAUAUUGGUGUUGUUUAACCUUAGUAUACGUGAGCGGGACAAAGAGUUAGUGUUACUCGUGCCAGUGAAAGCCAACCUAAACCUCUGAGGAGUGUUAGCAGCUUCAAGAUAAAGGAGUCAGUCAGCUGGAGCAACUUGGAAAAGGCUUUCCUGCCAGCAUACAGGGUAAUGGUUUGAACCUUACGAUUAAUUUGUUACACGUCAUUCCAUAAACAGUUACAUUCUGGUUGUGUUAGAUCAGCGAAGCAGAAAGAGCAUAAACCCUGCUGAUACAGUCAGAAAUACUGCACCAGGACACUGAGAAAAUAGGAGGCUUUAACGUGACCCAGAAGUGGUUCUCCACUCAGGAGAUCACUAAAAACCCUGCUUUGGGAAAGCAUUAUGGCAAGCAGCAGCCGCUGCCGUGGUGAACAUUAGCGAUGCUCCAAAUAGCUUUGAUAAAUUACAAUGCAAUAGAGUUACACCACAGUGCUCUUCUCCCCUGUGCUAGACAACAAUGAUGUGACAAUAAAGGACACUAUUGCAAAGCUUCACUUCCACUCAGACACGCAGAAAAUCUGGCACUAGGAAAAGACAACUGUAAGAGACAAAAUGGUGUCUGAUACAGCCCGAUAACAAAGCCAGAUCUCCGGUACCAUAAACUGUACAAAAAUGAUAGAAAAGAAUAUGCACUGUUAUUAAUACAGUGCUUAUUUUAAUAUAAAA